AACGAACGCUGGCGGCAGGCUUAACACAUGCAAGUCGAGCGCCCCGCAAGGGGAGCGGCAGACGGGUGGGUAACGCGUGGGAAUCUACCCAUCUCUACGGAAUAACGCAUGGAAACGUGUGCUAAUACCGUAUACGUCCUUCGGGAGAAAGAUUUAUCGGAGAUGGAUGAGCCCGCGUCGGAUUAGCUAGUUGGUGGGGUAAAGGCCUACCAAGGCGACGAUCCAUGGCUGGUCUGAGAGGAUGAUCAGCCACACUGGGACUGAGACACGGCCCAGACUCCUACGGGAGGCAGCAGUGGGGAAUAUUGGACAAUGGGCGCAAGCCUGAUCCAGCCAUGCCGCGUGAGUGAUGAAGGCCCUAGGGUUGUAAAGCUCUUUCACCGGUGAAGAUAAUGACGGUAACCGGAGAAGAAGCCCCGGCUAACUUCGUGCCAGCCGCCGCCGUAAUAC
rnacentral:rRNA from 1 species